CAUAGCGUAAUGAAGCGAACCGGGGGAACUGAAACAUCUAAGUACCCCGAGGAAAAGAAAUCAACCGAGAUUCCCCCAGUAGCGGCGAGCGAACGGGGAGCAGCCCAGAGUCUGAAUCAGCUUGUGUGUUAGUGGAACGGUCUGGAAAGUCCGACGGUACAGGGUGAUAGUCCCGUACACCAAAAUGCACAGGUUGUGAACUCGAAGAGUAGGGCGGGACACGUGGUAUCCUGUCUGAAUAUGGGGGGACCAUCCUCCAAGGCUAAAUACUCCUGACUGACCGAUAGUGAACCAGUACCGUGAGGGAAAGGCGAAAAGAACCCCGGCGAGGGGAGUGAAAAAGAACCUGAAACCGUGUACGUACAAGCAGUGGGAGCCUACUUGUUAGGUGACUGCGUACCUUUUGUAUAAUGGGUCAGCGACUUAUAUUCUGUAGCAAGGUUAACCGUAUAGGGGAGCCGAAGGGAAACCGAGUCUUAACUGGGCGUUAAGUUGCAGGGUAUAGACCCGAAACCCGGUGAUCUAGCCAUGGGCAGGUUGAAGGUUGGGUAACACUAACUGGAGGACCGAACCGACUAAUGUUGAAAAAUUAGCGGAUGACUUGUGGCUGGGGGUGAAAGGCCAAUCAAACCGGGAGAUAGCUGGUUCUCCCCGAAAGCUAUUUAGGUAGCGCCUCGUGAAUUCAUCUUCGGGGGUAGAGCACUGUUUCGGCUAGGGGGUCAUCCCGACUUACCAACCCGAUGCAAACUGCGAAUACCGAAGAAUGUUAUCACGGGAGACACACGGCGGGUGCUAACGUCCGUCGUGAAGAGGGAAACAACCCAGACCGCCAGCUAAGGUCCCAAAGUCAUGGUUAAGUGGGAAACGAUGUGGGAAGGCACAGACAGCCAGGAUGUUGGCUUAGAAGCAGCCAUCAUUUAAAGAAAGCGUAAUAGCUCACUGGUCGAGUCGGCCUGCGCGGAAGAUGUAACGGGGCUAAACCAUGCACC
rnacentral:rRNA from 1 species